UUACGGCUAUACCACGUUGAAACAUCGGUUCCCGUACGAUCACCGAAGUUAAGUAACGUUGAGUCAGGUCAUUACCUAGAUGGGUGACUAGGUAUAAA